rnacentral:sRNA from 1 species
UUUUUUUCCCAGAAUUGAUUUUGAUCCAAAUCUGAUCUGAUCCGAUUCGAUCGGAUUAUGUUUCAGGUAUGGGAGCAGCGUACGGGACAGCGAAGAGCGGGGUUGGUGUAGCGUCGAUGGGUGUGAUGAGACCAGAGCUUGUGAUGAAAUCGAUUGUUCCUGUUGUUAUGGCUGGAGUUUUAGGUAUUUAUGGUUUGAUCAUUGCUGUUAUCAUCAGUACCGGAAUCAACCCUAAGGCCAAGUCUUACUAUCUAUUCGAUGGCUAUGCUCAUCUCUCUUCCGGUCUUGCUUGUGGUCUCGCUGGUCUCUCCGCCGGUAUGGCUAUUGGAAUUGUCGGCGAUGCCGGUGUUAG